GAACAGUUAAUUUUAUUAGAACUUAUGUUUACAAACGGGAUAAUAAUAAAGAUGCUCACAUCACUAAAAUACAUUCUGAUUACGUUCUGAGCAUUAAGAACUAGUUUUGGAUACAUUCCUUAUAUAUUUGUCUACAAAUAGUUCCAAUAAUUGUAAAGGGAGAUUUUUUAAAUCACACACUUUCAUAGUAGGUCAGUGCUGAAUUUAUUAGAUUUUUGAGCUGAGAGACUCCUGCCACCAAAAUAAGGAAGAUUUUAGCCUAACAAGGCACAUUCGUACCUUGCACGCAGACACCUUUCAGGCUUGCACAAAAGCCAGACCAGUUUGAUUUGCCUUGUCUUAAAAUAAUAACCAUGUCCAAAGACAAAACAAGUUUAGAUAUUUAGCUCUGUGCCUGAACCAUGAAGUUAUUCCAUAGACCUACAUGUCUGAGGCACUAAAAUGCAGCAAUUGAGAAUCAAUGCUGCAGCCACUUUCUAUUACACCCAAACCUGUAACAGGAAGCUCUUCCCUGUUUAGUUCCUUUGCUAAAUUCUGGUAAGCCAUUUAAAAGAGAAUAUAACCAAACAAGCAAAAAGCAACCUCAUGACAUCAAGAGUGAAGGACAAAGAGAAAAACACACUCUGCUGACUGACCUUAUCCUCUCUGAUAACACAUCUUUGACCAACGACACUAUAAGCUCCUUGAAGAGAGCAGCUUGCCUUCAUUCACAGCGGCAACAUGUACCAAAUACUCAGCCAGUACUUUGGCAGCAGUACAAAAUAAGUUUUAUUGCGUCUCUUGGAAUUUCUAAACAGAGUUCUGCUAUUACACUUCCUGGUGAAGAGAGAAACCACCACAUGCUUUAUAGGGUUCAAGAACUAAAGCACAUCAAAACAAAAGAUGUUUCCAAUAGUAAGAAUAGUUUUGGCCUAGAUAUGAUCCUAUGGUCCUUGGUUUUUCAGCGUAUCUCCAGAGUCCAUCACUGCAUGAGGACUGUAUUUACAGGAAGACAUGUGUAUCACUUCAGCCAGCCAAGGGGAAAAAAAGAAAUAAAACUUAAUAAAAGCCCCAGCGUGUAAAGAAUGAAAUUCUGACAAGCACUACAGACCCCAUCUUUGCCUCAGAUGCAUGGCAGAUGUUUUCAUGUUUGCUGCGAAUUUAAUUGCUAUCCUAAGUCAAAGAA
rnacentral:lncRNA from 1 species